rnacentral:rRNA from 1 species
CCUACGGGCGGCAGCAGUGAGGAAUAUUGGUCAAUGGGCGGGAGCCUGAACCAGCCAAGCCGCGUGAGGGAAGAAGGUACAGCGUAUCGUAAACCUCUUUUGUCAGGGAACAAAGGCGGGACUAGUCCCCGGAUGAGGGUACCUGAAGAAAAAGCAUCGGCUAACUCCGUGCCAGCAGCCGCGGUCAUACGGAGGAUGCGAGCGUUAUCCGGAUUUAGUGGGUUUAAAGGGUGCGCAGGCGGCCUGGUAAGUCAGCGGUAAAAGCCCGGGGCUCAACCCCGUCGAGCCGUUGAAACUGGCGGGCUGGAGUUGGAGAGAAGUACGUGGAUGGCGCGGUGUAGCGGUGAAAGGCUUAGAUAUCGCGCAGAACCCCGAUUGCGAAGGCAGCGUACCGGCUCCACACUGACGCUGAGGCACGAAAGCGUGGGUAUCGAACAGGAUUAGAUACCCGGGUAGUC